rnacentral:rRNA from 1 species
UCAUGGCGUCAGGACGAACGCUGGCGGCGUGCUUAACACAUGCAAGUCGAGCGGAAAGGCCUUCGGGGUACGUCGAGCGGCGAACGGUGAGUAACACGUGAGUAAUCUGCCCUUGGCUUUGGGAUAACUACCGGAAACGGUGGCUAAUACCGGAUACGACCACUCCUUGCAUGAGGUGGUGGUGGAAAGUUUUUUCGGCCAGGGAUGUGCUCGCGGCCUAUCAGCUUGUUGGUGGGGUAAUGGCCUACCAAGGCUUCGACGGGUAGCCGGCCUGAGAGGGUGACCGGCCACACUGGGACUGAGACACGGCCCAGACUCCUACGGGAGGCAGCAGUGGGGAAUAUUGGACAAUGGGCGGAAGCCUGAUCCAGCAACGCCGCGUGAGGGAUGACGGCCUUCGGGUUGUAAACCUCUUUCAGUACCGACGAAGCGCCGAUGAUGGUGGUGACGGUAGGUACAGAAGAAGCACCGGCCAACUACGUG